GCGAGAGUGGCGGAAUUGGUAGACGCGCUAGAUUUAGGAUCUAGUGCCUUUUAGGCGUGGGGGUUCGAGUCCCCCCUCUCGUA
rnacentral:tRNA from 2 species